rnacentral:hammerhead_ribozyme from 17 species
CAAGCGUUUUGGGGCCAGCCCCACUGAUGAGUCUAGGCAGCGACUCCAAGACGAAACGCAUC